rnacentral:rRNA from 1 species
ACGUAGGACCCAAGCGUUAUCCGGAGUGACUGGGCGUAAAGAGUUGCGUAGGCGGCUCGUUAAGCAGAUAGUGAAAUCACGUGGCUCAACCAUUGUGGCUAUUAUCUGAACUGGCGAGCUCGAGAAUGGUAGAGGUAGCUGGAAUUUCUAGUGUAGGAGUGAAAUCCGUAGAUAUUAGAAGGAACACCAAUGGCGUAGGCAGGCUACUGGACCAUUUCUGACGCUAAGGCACGAAAGCGUGGGGAGCGAACCGGA